GAAACCGUGCACCACCAUAUUUAUGUUGGUUCAUAUUUAUUGAAUUGAGUUGAAUGGUACUGGUUGAUAGUAUUAUGGAUUGAAUUGAAUAAAUAGUCCAGUAGCAUGACAUCCUGGUUCAAUUGCCUCUAAGAACAAGUGUUUCUUUUAUUGUUGUAUUGUAGAUGGAUAAGAGGACCAAGAUUGUAACUUGUGCUACUGCUGCAUACAUGUUGUUGUCAAUGAUUUGGUGGCUGCUGGUUUGAAGACAUCAAAGGGAUUUAAGAAGCACCUUUUUAAUGGUUGUGCUAGGGUUAUCAAUGAGAAGUUCACCACAAGGAUCACUGGUGAGCAAGUUAAGAAUCAUUUGAAAACAUGGCAGAAAAGGUAUGCAAAGAUAAAUAGAUUGAAGAAGUUGAGUGGUGCCCUCUUUGAUGAAGAAAACUGCAUGAUUACACUAGAUGAGGAGCACUACAACGGCCAUGUCCAGGUAACCUUACUGUCUUUUGCUUAGUUCUUGAUUCAUUCACAAGUGUUAGAUUAUAUUAACAUAUUUUUCCAUCUUGUCUAGGAUCACAAGUCUGAUGCUGAGUACUUGAACAAGCCCCUCUUGCACUAUAGAGAGAUGACGGCAAUAUUUGGCAAUACAAUGGCUACUGGAAAUUUUGCAAAAGACUCAAGUGCACCUCUAGGUAGAGAGGAUGAUGAGGGUGAAAGUCAAGAAGAGGGGGAUGAGGUUACUGGGCAUGGUCCAAGUGAGGGGCAUACCACUCAAGGGGCAACGUCUUCUGCUAGUAGACCUAGUAAGAAGUCCAAGAUAGCUGAAAUGGAGGAGGAUGGGCUGGUUGCCGCCUUCAAAAGUGUAGGUGAGAACCUUGCCGCUGCCAUAAAAAUGGUAGCUAAACCUGAUAAUGAGCUGCCACCUGACCUAUUUGAUGUCUUGAACCAACUUCCUGGUUUUAAUUCAGCACACAUAUCCUUCUACUAUGCUCAUUUGGUGAGCAAUCCUCACAUUGGCAAAGCUUUCUAUAACUUGCCAUUCGAGCACAAGUU
rnacentral:lncRNA from 1 species